AAUACCCUAUUAUUUUAAAAGAAAUUUAGUUUACUUAAUUAGUAGUAGUUAAGGUCUUGAAAAUUAAAGAAUUUGGCGGUAUCUUAGUCUAUUCAGAGGAAUCUGUCCUAUAAUUGAUGAUCCACGAUUUUUAUUACCUAUUUUAUUAAUUUACAUAUCGUCGUAGUUUGAAUAUUUUUAAAAAAAGAUAAUAUUCAUAAUUUAUUUUUAUAUAAGAUAUCAGGUCAAGGUGUAGUUUAUGAAUAGGAAGAGAUGGAUUACAAUAAAAAUAUUUAUUAUGGAUUAAUUAAUGAAAAAUUUUUAUGAAAGUGGAUUUGAUAGUAAUUUUAUUUA
rnacentral:rRNA from 1 species